GCUGGUUUAACAAUAAUUUCCGACAAACAAGUGAACGACAAAGUCCAUGAAUAAUUUCUUUAGGCUGUCGUCUUUCUUUUACCUGAAUAUGCAUCGAAGGAGAAUUAUUCCCACUUCUCUUAGUUUAUAUAUGGAGAUUUUUAUUACUUUCUACCUGCGGAACAGCGCCAUCUCUGUGGAAAAUAGUCUGACGAUGGGCCUUAUUACGGGUGUCACUACACGGUGAUAAGGAAGUAAUACUCAGAAUAAGAGUCGUGAUUGCCGUACAAAUUAAAUGGGAAUCACUUCACCGUGACGACAAGUGACAAGUUUUCACCGUGAAGUGACAUCCGUAAUAAGCCCCGAUAUGAUUAAUUGCAAACUCACAAAAUAAUCUGGUCGAGUUGUUAACAGAAGAUAAAAUCGGUGAAUAUAAUCGACCAUAGAAGUUAGUUCCUUGUGAUUCUGAAAGCUAGAUUUUGUUCCUUUGAACAUUUGUUUAUUUGUUUAUUUGUUUAUUUAAUAAUUCAACUGACAAUUAAUGUCUUAAUGAAUAACACUUAAUCUAAAUAGUUAUGGUCAACGAAACGAAAACGGUCAAGUAACCGGUGACGAAACACAUUUGCUGAUACGUUAAAGUCAAAUUCGCAAUAAAAGUAGUUAAAUUGUCGGCUGAUUGCACGAAUUGGCUCAUUCUGCGUAUAAUUUCUGCCUCGUGGCUCCAAAAACAGAAAUUCGCGUUGACGAAGAGGUCUCUCAGGAGCAUACAUAUUUAGCUGGGCCAGCAACGUUGGACAGUCGAUGUCACCCAUGAGAAGCUUUCCAGCAAACAUAGCUUGAGCGACCGUCCGUCGCACCACUAGCGGUUCGAUGCCCAGAAGACGGCAACGCUCCUCGUACGGUGGCAGGUUCGAUGAGUCACGCCAGUUCAAGAAACGAAGAGCAUAUCUCACAAACUUUCGUUGAACAGAUUCGAUUCUAACGAUCCAAGUGGCUUGGAAAGGGCACCAUACAACUGCACUUGAUUCUAAUAUAGACCGCACAAGUGAGCAGUAAAGUGAUCUGAGGCAUAACGGGUCCCGGAACUCAUCGGCAAUUUUGAAAAUAAAACCCAGUUGGCGAUUGGCUCGGGAAAUGAUGUCGUUAUAAUGGAUUUUGAAGGUGAGUCCGCAGUCCAGAGUAACACCGAGAUCCUUUAUUUGUUCUACACGGGCAAUGCAACGUCCAAAGAGCACAUAGUCAAACAUAAUUGGUUCGUUUUUACGGUGAUAGGAGAUGACGUUGCAUUUUUCGAUGCUCAGGCCCAUCAAAUUUCUCGUGCACCAGUCAGCGAAAAUACAUAGCAUAUGCUGGAGAUCCCAACAGUCCGAGAGGCUUUUGAUAAUUUUGUAGAUUUUGGCGUCAUCUGCGUAGAAAAGACGACAUCCAGAUGGUAACAACAGAGCGAUGUCGUUUAAAAAGAUCGAAAACAGCAGAGGUCCCAGGUUGCUGCCUUGCGGGACUCCCGAGUUGUUGGAGAAAACAUUUGAAUCUGUCGCGCCAAUCUUGACUCGUACAGAGCGAUUCACUAAGUACGAUCUGAACCAUUUCACAGCCGUAGACGAGACACCUAGUAUCUCCAACUUAGCAAGCAGGAUUUCAUGAUCCACCCUGUCAAAAGCGGCUUUUAAGUCCAUGUAUGCAGCAUCAACUUGCCAUCCAGCAUCCAAGCUUCGCAGACAGUCAGAGGUAAACUGCACCAGGUUCGUGGAAACCGAUCGCUUGGGGUAAAAACCAUGUUGGUCCGUAUCGAUAUAAUUUUUACAGCACAUAAACAGAGCAUCAUUUACAAUAAUCUCGAAAAGUUUAGAGCAGGCGCACAUGGAGGAAAUCCCACGAUAAUUAGCGACAUUCAGUUUGUCUCCUUUUUUGUGAAUUGGAAACAGAUAGGAAAGCUUCCAGCGGGAGGGGAAUUCACUUUGCUGUGCCGAGAAAUUAAAAAGUCGCGCAAGUGGAAGGCAGAGGUUGACUGCACAUCGUUUUAAAACUGAUGAGGGAAUUCCGUCAGGACCAGCGGCGAAUGAGUUCUUCAUUUUGCGUGUUGCGGUUAUCACCAUGUCUUCAGUGAUGUGAGGUAUGUCAAAACUAAAAACAUCACGUGGCAUCCCGGAGGUUGCGACCAACACCUGUGUCGGUGAAGCGGAAAAAUCGUGGAAGACUUGUUUGAAUUGACGAGCAAACAAGCUGCAUUUUUCACUUUCGCUGCAGGCCGUAUCAUCUCCGAGGAACAUGGAACAAGGCAGCCCGGAUUCUUUCCGUUUUGAAUUUACAAACGACCAAAAACCUUUCGGGUUCGACCGAAGGUUCGCUUCCGUGCGUCUCACGUGCCGAUUAUAGAGGAAGUGGCUGUAGUUUCGAUAGCGACGACUUGCGAAUUUAAACUGUUGCUUGUAGAACGGUAAGCGAGAGCUGCAGUACCUUCGGAGUGCGGCGGAGCGCUGACGUUUUAAUUUACGUAGGCGUGGGUUCGACCAUGGAGGCUUCUGCGGGGGACGUCUUGCUGGGACAGUGCGGAAAAUAACUUCUUCCAGCGCAGAGCUGAAACAAUCCACAGCAUCAUUGACACUAGCGGCCGUUUCGAUACAGUGCCAAUCUAUUUCCGCAAGCGCAUUGUUCAAUGCAGUGUAAUCGGCCCGGUGAGCAGAUCUUCCAAAGUUCUGCUAUUAUUGUAUUUCUUUUUUUUGGAACAGUCGUUUUCCUUUUUUAAACGCGAGUAGUUCUCCCUUUAUAAUUAUAAAAAUGUUGGUUUUGUGGAUGAAACAUGUAGUCAGACUUUUUUGAAAUGGUACUGGUUCUGUACAUUGCUGCAUUAUUCACUUUGGCGGAAAUGGUCCCGAUGUUGGCCUAAGGAUCAACAGAUCAGGUCCAUCGAUAAAAAUCUAAUUUUUUUAUUAUUUUUCUUAGAAUAAUGCGUUAUCUGGACAAUUACUUGCUAUUGUCGGUUGAUAAUGAAAAAAAUGAUCAAAAUGGCUUAAUUUUGGAAUGUAAGCAUAAGCCUAAUAUUAGGAAAAUUCAUACCGAUAUAAAGGACAUCAACCCGUUCAUAUUCGCCUAAGUUGUUAUUUUUUAAGCAUUUUCCGUUCUUUAAAAAGAUCAUAAUUGAAAUUCGGUGAAAUUUUUGCUUUGGCGGAAUAACCGUUGGUGAUAACCAACCCCCACCCCCUCCAACAAUUUUCAUUCCCAGAGUGUUGCGAAUUGUUGCAAGGAAUAUUUCAAAUUCAAACAUUCUAAUUUAAGCCCAUUCGGCCUAAUGGUUUUCGGCCUAAUGAUCCAUUCGGCCUAAUGACCCCAGACCGACAAUACAUACCAGAUGGUAUAUGAGAAUAGUAAAUAUAAGACUUCUGAGUGUUUGACUAGCUUUCGACAGUUCACAUUAGCGAUCUGUUUUGAGCUUUCAUUGAACAAGCAUUUGAAAAAUUGCAUAAAUUGCAACCAUAUUAACAGUCAACCACCACUUUGAACGCCUUUAGUGGCUGUUCAUAAAUCACGUGCAAACCUAAGUCGGGAUGGAUGGGAGUAGUAUUCCAAGUAUCUACACUUCAUAAGAUAAUAGGAAAUUUGUACGAAGUCAUCAAAGUCUGUACCCUUACUUAAAGAACAGUUACUGACUGUCAUGUGCCAAGAGAGUGCUGUCAUUUUUCAGUUUUAAAGAAAUAUUUCGGCCCUUAUUACGGGUGUCACUACACGGUGAAAACGAAGUGUAGUGACCAGGGCCCUUAUUACCGAUGUCACUUCACGGUGAAGUGACAACUUAUCACUCACGGUGAAGUGAUUCCCAUUUGAUUUACACGGCAAUCACUUCACCGUUAGUGACAACUGAUCACUUCACUUCGUUUUCACCGUGAAGUGACACCCGUAAUAAGGGCCCAGUUGUCACUCACGGUGAAGUGAUUGCCAUGUAAAACAAAUGUGAAUCACUUCACCGUGAGUGAUAAGUUGUCACUUCACCGUGAAUUGACAUCGGUAAUAUGGGUGAAGUUUGAUGGGAAAAACUGUUCAUCAUUUUCUCAUUUUUAUUUUUGCCAUGUGGAAAUUACGGUGUCCAGAAUAAGAGAGAAGCAAAUACGAUAGCCCUUAUUAUGGGUAUCACUUCACGGUGAAAACGAAGUGAAGUGACCAGUUGUCACUCAAGGUGAAGUGAUUGCCGUGUAAAUCAAAUGGGAAUCACUUCACCGUGAGUGAUAAGUUGUCGGUAAUAAGGGCCAAUACAUUGAAUCUAUGCCGAGGUAUUUUCUAGUGAGAGUAUCUAAGAUAAGAGUGAAGUUCUGGGUCAAAUUACCUGUCAACGUCAAUCGAGCAGCGCCUAUCUUCAUUUCAUUGGUAGUCACCCGCAUGUAAUGGCACUGCAAACACCCGUUCAGAUUUCGUACGGUUUCAAAAUCCGGCAUGUAUUUAGUAGUUAUUGGAAAAAAUCAUUCAUAAUUGAUUUAUGAUCAGAUAGAUCUAACCAAAAUCCGUUUCCGAAAUUGCACAGGUUUUUUCACUCGCGGUAAUCCAAAAAUAAAUCCUUUCAACCUAGCACAGAAUUUUUUCAUACUCACGCAAAAUUAUUGAGUAAGUUUCGGGGUGUCCACUAGUUAAGAAGUUUUACGUUCGUCACACUAAAUUUUCAGUGAAAUUUGUUGAAAAAUAAAUCAGCAACAAAAACAAAACACGUCAAUUCAAAUGCACGGCCUUCUUGAUUCAAAUUAAGCGGUGCUCGAUUGGCUCGGAAUUUGACAGUUUGUUUGGCUGUAUAGCAACUACUUCGCUCUCUCUCUCUUGUCCUUGGAACUCACUAUUAUGUACUUUUUCGAUUUUUUUACAGAUGAAAAGUAAAUCCUAAAGGUAUGAUCACCAACAAACAUACUCUUAUUUUUCUUAAUUCGUCCAAAUGUGGUGAAAAUUUUAAUGAAAAUAUGAGAAUAAGGCUGUAAUUUUAUCUCAUGACAGUGAUAAAAGCUGUUUAGUCAUUAUCGAAUGAUCAUCCUAAAAUUUUUCAGCCCUGCCCAAACACGUCGUCUGCCAAACCAAGUUGUCACGAUUUGUUUAACGCAUGGUUUCUAUUAGAGAGGGUCUAGUAUAAGAGAGGAGCGGAUUCAAAACAGUCUGCCUUGGCAACCUACGCCUUGGCGAAUUCUAGCAACACUGCCAAUGCAAUCAAGAUAGGCGCUGCUCGAUUGGCUCUGGUUUUGACAGUUCGUUUGGCUCAAAACCAGCCAGUGCGCUCCUCUCUUACACUAGACCCUUUCUAGUUUCUAUUAUCAGACUCUAAAUUCAAAUUCUUACAUAAUGAAUCAUUGUAUUCCUAGUUAUUGUAAUUCUGUGACGACCAUGGUAAUGACAAUACAAACGUUGAUAAUCUUUGUUAAUGGUACUUUUGGGAUAUGACAGUCAAACGUUCCACUCCUCCAAAGCAACAACCCAUCAACCGAAAACCUUCCUCUUCCAACCAUUAGAAUAUCUUGUUUUCCAUAAAAUGAUUUCUUCUUUCUCUAAGAUGAGUGCCUUAUAUUGCAUUGGAAAAAUAAAAUGAAAAAAGACAAAAAAAAACGACACUAGUAAUCAAACGUCAUACAACACAAACCAAAAUUCCUGUGUCUGUAUAGAGAGUAUUACCACAUAGGGAACCAUUUUUGUAUAGAUAUUAGAAAUCUCAUUCACAUCAUCCUUCAUCGGAAUACACUUUUCUGUCGAGGUUCAUUUUCAAUGACUAAAAAGUAGUCGUCUAGUUUUUUCGUUUGUAUAUAAACCUACGUUCCACUACACAAUAAUAUCCAACAAAUGCAAUCUAAAACCGUGCUUUUCCUCUAUGUAAAAGGGAAAAGACUUAUUCCUCAAACUGUUUGAAAUUAGCGUUUUAGGUUAGGUUCACCAAAUUCGAUUGGAACAAGUGCUCAUUUUAAAUAGUAGCAACAACACAAACUUAUGUGUAUUUCUUUCAUAUUUUCUAGUUGCAGUUUAGUUGUAGUCUUGAAUUUAAAUUCUCACUCAAUUCUAGUGUUCAGUAGAGUGUACCAUUUAGACGCUGUUGUUAAUUUAUGGAUCUUUUUCCGCAACGAACCAGCGGCCGUAAGUCAUCUUGUAUCAAAUACAAAAGAAUUAGUAUGUUUAUACACACUUUCGUUGCAUGUAGGGUUUAGUUUAGCUAGGAUUCUUUCAACUGUCUUUUGUUUUCCGGGCGAAGCGCUGCAAAGUUUUACUACCCAUAGGUCUAGACCCGUUAUCGAAAUUACUGAAAAUGAAUAGAACGAGUAAUUUUUACCACAACUACGAUAGCGGCAAAAUACAGUGAGAACAACAAAAAAAAAAUGCAACAUACAAUAAUGUAGCGUGAGUUUUAAACUACAGAACAUUUCAUAUCUGUCAAUGUUAUUGGAAAUAUGUUUACUACGAAAGCAAGCAACUUAGGUACGACUUAUUUAUUACAUUUUUCGUAGAGAAAUCUAAUUCUAUUCCAAUAUCACUCGUAAACACACCCAUCCAGGUUACAAAAAAAGAUUUAAACACUCCUCAUUUAGAUCCAACAAAUAAAACACACACACACACAUACACAUUCACAAUGAAAAUAAACACACAAAUACAUACAAAUGAUGGAAGUCACCAAUCAACGCGUGAGCAUUGAUAACAACAAAAUAUCUGUGAAAAAAGUGAGAAAACAUAGGAAAAAACACAAGCGCCCAACUCUUUUUAGUGAGCGAAUCCGUGAAAUAAAUGUAUUAAACAAAAA